GUAUGAUGGAGGUCUUUUGAUUCUUUGAGACUUUCUAGAAGGAAUAUUUUGUGAGGAAGUAGAAGGAAGAGGAGAAUGAGAAGCAGAAGAAGAAGGAUUUUGUGAAGUAGUAGAAGGAAAGGAGGGGAAAUCAUCAAAAAUAGGUAAAGAAGAAUUUUGAGGAAGAGAAAGUAAUGGAGGAAUGACAAUAGAAGUGUGAUGGAAAGGAAAUAUAUGUUCAUGAAAAAUAACAUGUCUGGAUGUAAAGAUGUUUCUGUUUUGAAUGUCAAGCAACACAAAUCCUUUAGUUCCAGGUUUGAAACCUAAGAAAACACAUUUUCGAGCUCUUGGAUCAAAUUUAGUUCUAUGAGCUGUUAAAGUGGAGGCCAAACAAAGAGAUCCAAAUGUUUUCAGUUCUAUAAAAUCUGGUAUUUGAGAAUAAAGCAUUUCAUAGGGAGUUUUGUUAUUGAGAAGGGGAGAAGGGAGUCUAUUAAUGAGGAAAACAACAUGAAGAAUAGUGUAAUACCAGUUCACUUUCUGUAAAUUUGACUGAAAUAAAAGGGAUCUAGCAACAUUCAUAAUAUGUUGAUGUUUUCUCUCCACAAUGCCAUUUUGCUGUGGAGUUUCAACACUAGAAGUUUGAUGGAUAGU
rnacentral:misc_RNA from 1 species